rnacentral:rRNA from 1 species
CCUACGGGAGGCAGCAGUGAGGAAUAUUGGUCAAUGGGCGUAAGCCUGAACCAGCCAAGUCGCGUGAGGGAGGAAGGCUCUAUGGAUCGUAAACCUCUUUUAUAAGGGAAUAAAGUGCGGGACGUGUCCCGUUUGGAAUGUACCUUAUGAAUAAGGAUCGGCUAACUCCGUGCCAGCAGCCGCGGUAAUACGGAGGAGCCGAGCGUUAUCCGGAUUUAUUGGGUUUAAAGGGUGCGUAGGCGGCAUUUUAAGGCAGCGGUGAAAGUCUGUGGCUCAACCAUAGAAUUGCCGUUGAAACUGGGAGGCUGGAGUGUGUUAGAGGCAGGCGGAAUGCGUGGUGUAGCGGUGAAAUGCUUAGAUAUCACGCAGAACUCCGAUGGCGAAGGCAGCCUGCCAGGCCAUGACUGACGCUGAUGCACGAAAGCGUGGGGAUCAAACAGGAUUAGAUACCCUUGUAGUC